UACGUAGGGUGCGAGCGUUGUCCGGAAUUACUGGGCGUAAAGAGCUCGUAGGUGGUUUGUCGCGUUGUUCGUGAAAACCGGGGGCUUAACCCUCGGCGUGCGGGCGAUACGGGCAGACUUGAGUACUGCAGGGGAGACUGGAAUUCCUGGUGUAGCGGUGGAAUGCGCAGAUAUCAGGAGGAACACCGGUGGCGAAGGCGGGUCUCUGGGCAGUAACUGACGCAGAGGAGCGAAAGCGUGGGGAGCGAACAGG
rnacentral:rRNA from 1 species